CUUCUUCUGCCUUUUUUUUUAAUCAAAAGUUUGACUGACCGACUGAAAAAACUAAAAGUAAAGGAAAAAAAUCGGAUGAAAUUAGAAGAACAAAACUCUACUUCUCUUCCUUUCUUUCGUUCUUGAGAUAAUUCUAAAAAGCCUUCACCGCCAUCUCUUCAUGAUCACCGAUCGUUUCCUAAUCACAACUGCCACCGGUCAUCUGUCCUUCAACCUCUAGCCUCUGCCGUUGUAACACGCGAGAUUUCAAGGCUCAAUCAACACGCGAGAUGAACUGGAGCUGAAUUUGAUAAUUUUUAGAAUUUGAAGCUAAUUAUAUUAGUACCACUUUUGUUUGGAGGAGAAUACUAGCAGUUGUAAAGGCUGUUAUAGCUGAUUCAUUACGCUGAAUUGAUUUGUGACUUGAAUUUCAGUAUUUUUUAUGGGUAGUUGACUAUUUAUUGAGUUUGUUAGCAAUUUGGUGAUGUUCACAAACAUCAAAAUCUAAAUGUAAGUUGGCGACAAUGGGGUGAUGAUACAAACACCGAAAUCAAUCUGGUCUACGCACCUCGUUUAUAUCAUUUGAAGUACAAUGGUGAACGAACUACUGCUAAUCUGGUAAACAUUUUCUUGUGAUCUAGUUGUAUUCGGAUCUGUGAUUUCUUGUGCAUCACCGAUGAAAUUCUCGUAUGUAUAUACAGUAGGCGAACUUACAAGUGAAUAAUCAAUGCCAUAGUUUGUUUCAUUUUGAUAAAGAUGAACACAAUGCUACUUUGAAUGAGUUACU
rnacentral:lncRNA from 1 species